GAGCGGUGUAUGUAUGUAGGUACGAGUCGGGGUGGAUGGAGGUCGAACAAAAUCGUUAAGGCGCCGCCGCCGCCGUCGCCAAGUCGCGUCACGUCGUCAUCGAACACACACCGGGACGGUGGAGAGUAUUUGUUAGAAAAAAAAAAUUGCACUGCGUAACGACCUAUAAUAAUACUAUACGUACAUGCGCUAUAGCUAAAUACGCUUUUCUCUAUUCACACACGUACCCAAGCCCAACAAUCGUAUUUUCAGCCCAUUGUGUGACGUACGCGUUCUUCGUGGCAGCGAAGCGUUUAUAAAUAGUAGACGUCGGAGGGAUAUACAGCAAACGCCACGAGACGGCGGCCUGUCGAUCUAUUCUCGUGAGCGCGUCUCCGACGCGACCAGCGAAGACGUCGAGGCCGCGUCGACCCAAUUGCCGCGGACCGGAAGGAACCGGACGGAGUCGCACGCCAACAACCACGUAUGUGUGCGCCAGGUAUCGAUUGUUAUUUGUUAGUAUAAAAAAUCGUGACGAAUACAGUGACUGUAAAAUUUUAUCUGCGAACUUGGAGAUCGAAAAGAAACAAUGCUAACUUUCGAGUAUUAAGAACGAUUUAAAGUAAAGACGUCUCCGGCGCGUCAGUGUAAGGAUUGAGAAAUUUAGACAACGCAAAUUGGCAGGUAUUCUUGAGAAUGUUCAAAAACGGACCGGAAUACCGAAACAUUCACAACAAACAAUUACUGUGUAUUGGUCAUCAUGAAUUAUUAUAAUAAAUGGCUAAAUUUGAUUAUCAAAUACGAUAA